rnacentral:lncRNA from 1 species
UAAUUUAUGGGGACACCCUGUAUGUUGUUGUUGUUGCUGUGGAAUUUUAAUUUUACGCGCUAGUUUGUACAAUUAUUAUCGUGGCUUGUAUUUAUUUUACACCAACAAAAGUACACUUUUAAGACGCCCUGUAGAUUUUUUUUUCUACAGGGGUACUUAAAAAAAUAUAUGUGAUUUUUUAACGGAGCACCCUGUAAACUAGUUUGCUUUUUGUCUAUGAAGCUUACCUUAAAUCUAUUAUAUUAAAAAAGAACUUUGGAUGAACCAUUUUUUCACAAAAAAAAAACAAAAUUUAUGUUAUAUAUGGACGACGAUCUUCCUAUGCUCCUAUUUACUUAUGGACACAAAUAUUAAAAAUAUACUAUGGUAUUAUCACGGAUUAAUCAUUUUUAUAUAGACCUAAAGAAUUUGCACUUUAUUCCUAUAUAAAAUAAAUAAAAUAUAACGAUAAAAAAAUAACACUUUUUUAACGUUGUUUACCAAAUUCCUUGUUUUAUUUUGGAACGUUGACGUUUAUAAAUAACUGUCAAUUUAUUGACAUAACCUAUUUGAGAAAAUCAAACUAAUAACUACAGUUGCCGAAUUGUAAUGUAUUUUCUUAGGUUACAGUCCUUAGAUAUUUAUUUAGUACAUGACGGGAACAGUUUUUUUAAUUCUUUUUUAAAUUUUGCUGUCAACUUUUUUAAACAAAUGCUUUAGAGUAGUAACUUGUGUCGCCAUCUGACAUUUUAUUGGCAUUAACUGGCAUAAGUAGGGUUGCGUCAAACACAUACCAGCUAUUACACAUUUUUAAUUUAAAAAAAUUAAUUAUUUCAAUAUUUUUAUAUUAAUAUUACGAAAUUGAACAGCAGGAAAUCCACUUACAAGAAAUUCUAAGUGAAAACCGGAAUUUAUGAUUAGCUUUGUUAAUAAGUGCCUACUUCUAUCUAAAUCUUAUGGACGUCAAGUAUGGCAACACUGCCGAAUAUCCUUGCGAAACAUUGACAUAUUGGAGAGUUUUUGCAUUGCAAUGUUUGGAAAAUGGCGUCAUUAAGUAUAGCCGUUAUUUAAGCUUUUCGUACAAAAUAUGUUUCAUCCAAAUCUUUUUUAGGUUGAAAAUUUUAUAUAGACCAUACCUUUUCAAUGAGAAACACUUUUUGAGAAACGCUGAAAUAGGUGUCUAAUGAAUUUAAUUGAUGAAUGUGUGUACAAAUAUUCAGAUCUGUAGCUUGAGUGGUUUUUGAGUUAUGGCCAUUUUCUGGAUUUUUUAUUAAAAAAAAAUAAUUUUCCUCAAAAAUAAUUUUUUACUCAAAAUGUUUUAAUUUUUUUGAGAAACGCUGAAAUAGGUGUCUAAUGAAUUUAAUUGACGAAUGUGUGUACAAAUUUUCAGAUCUGUAAGUUAAGUGGUUUUUGAGUUACGGCCAUUUUCUGGAUUUUUUAUUAAAAAAAAAAUAAUUUUCCUCAAAAAUAAUUUUUUACUCAAAAUGUUUUAAUUUUUUUGAGAAACGCUGAAAUAGGUGUCUAAUGAAUUUAAUUGACGAAUGUGUGUACAAAUUUUCAGAUCUGUAACUUGAGCGGUUUUUGAGUUAUGGCCAUUUUCUGGAUUUUUUAUUAAAAAAAAAAUAAUUUUCCUCAAAAAUAAUUUUUUACUCAAAAUGUUUUAAUUUUUUUGAGAAACGCUGAAAUAGGUGUCUAAUGAAUUUAAUUGAUGAAUGUGUGUACAAAUUUUCAGA